UACGAAGGGGGCUAGCGUUGCUCGGAAUCACUGGGCGUAAAGCGCACGUAGGCGGACUCUUAAGUCGGUGGUGAAAUCCUGGAGCUCAACUCCAGAACUGCCUUCGAUACUGAGAGUCUCGAGUCCGGGGAGAGGUUGAGUGGAACUGCGAGUGUAGAGGUGAAAUUCGUAGAUAUUCGCAAGAACACCAGUGGCGAAGGCGGCUCACUGGCCCGGUACUGACGCUGAGGUGCGAAAAGCGUGGGGAGCAAACAGGG
rnacentral:rRNA from 1 species